AAGCUGUAGUAAUCAAAAUGGUAUGGUACUGUCACAAAAACAGACAUAUAGAUCAAUGGAACAGAAUAGAGAGCCCAGAAAUAAAUUCAUAUUUAUAUGGUCAGUUAAUCUACAACAAAGGAGGAAAGAAUAUCCAAUGAAGUAAAGACAGUCUCUUUAAAAAAUGGUGCUGGGAAAACUGGACAGCUACAUGCUAAAGAAUGAAACUGGAUCACUUUUUCACACCAUACCCAAAUAUAAAUUCAAAAUGCUUUAAAGACCUAAAUGUGAUACCUGAAACCAUAAAAAUCCUAGAAAAGAGCACAGGCAGUAAUUUCUCUGACAUCAGCAAUAGCAAUGUUUUUCCAGAUAUGUAACCUAAGGCAAGGAAAACAAAAGCAAAAAUAAACCAUUGGGACUACAUCAAAAUGAAAAGCUUCUGCACAGCAAAGGAAACAAUCAACACAACCUACCGAAUGGAAGAAGAUAUUUACAAAUGACAAUACUUGAUAAGGGGUUAGUAUCCAAAAUAUAUAAAGAACUUAGGCAACUUAACAUCAAAACCCCACAAAUAAUCUAAUUUAAAAUGGGCAGAAGACAUGAACAGAUAUUUCUCCUAAGAAGACAUACAGAUGGCCAAGAGACACAUGAAAAAAUGCUCAACAUCACUCAUCAUAAGGGAAAGGCAAAUAAAAACCAAAAUGAGAUCUCACUUCACACCUAUCAGAAUGGCAAAAAUCAAAAACGCAAGAAACAACAAGUGUUGGUGGGUGUACAGACAAAAAGGAAGACUUGUUCACCAUUGGUGGGAAUGCAAACUGGUACAGCCACUGUGAAAAACAAUAUGGAGAUUCCUCAAAAAAUUAAAAAUAGACAUAUAAUCCAGUAAUUCCACUAUUGGAUAUUUACUCAAGGGAUACGAAAACACAAAUUCAAAAUGAUAUAUUCACCCCUAGGCCUAUUGCAGCAUUAUUUACAAUAGCCAAAAAUGGAAGCAACCCAUGUGUCCAUCAAUUGAUGAAUAAACAAGAUGUGAUAUAGAUAAACAAUGGAGUGUUACUCAGACAUAAACAAGAAUGAAAUUUUGCCAUUUGCAACAACAUGGAUGGAUCUAGAGGGUAUAAUGCUAAGGGAAAUAAGUCAAAGACAAUACAUGAUCCCACUCAGAUGUGGAAUUUAAGAAACAAAACAAAUGAACCAAGAAAAAAGAUAAACCAAAAAACAGACUCUUUUUAAAAGAUUUUAAGUAAUCUCUACACCCAACGUGGGGCUCAAACUCACAACCCCAAGAUCAGGAGUCACAUGCUCUUCCAACUAAGCCAGCCAGGUGCCACCAAAAACCAGACUUUUGACUAUGGAGGACAAACUGGUGGUUACCAGAAGGGAGAUGGGUAAGGGAUGGGUGAAACAGGUGAAGGGGACUAAAAGUACACUUCUGAUGAGCACCAAGUAAUGUAUGGAAUUGCUGACUCACUAUAAUAUACACCGGAAACUAAUGGCAUGUUAACUACACUAGAAUUAAAACUUAAAAAUUUUGGGAUGCCCGGGUAGCUCAGUGGUUGAGCAUCUGCCUUUGGCUCAGGGCGUGAUCCUGGGAUCCAGGAUCGAGUCCUACAUUGGGCUCCCUGCAGGGAGCCUGCUUCUCCCUCUGCCUAUGUCUGUGUCUCUCAUGAACAAAUAAAUAAAUCUUUUUUAAAAAACUUAAUUUUUUAAAAAAAGAAAGUAAUAUGUUAGUUUUUCAGGUGUGUGUGUACAGAAUACUUACAUAUUAUAGAGAAUUUGGCAAAAUUAGGAUAAAUAUUCCAAAUGCCAAACCAUUGCUUAUGUGACAAGACAUUGGGAGAAUCAGAGGUAAUUGUUACUUAAUAUAAAAUGACCUAUCUCCUUUUUAGCUUUUUGCCCACUUGCUGACAGAAUUUCACAUAUAGUUAUCCAUAUAUAACUAUAGCAAUCUAGAAACUCAAUAUUUAAAUGUAAAUGUAAGUUAG
rnacentral:lncRNA from 1 species